ensembl:snoRNA
AUCCUUUGUAGUUCCUAAGUGGGAUGACUGGGUUUUCAUGUGCAUCUGUAACAAAUCUUGUUACUACGUUGGCACAUUACCAGUCUGAUG